rnacentral:tRNA from 1 species
AGGGAUGUAGUUUAUAAAUAACAUCUAUGUUGCAAAUAGAAAAUGCUUAAUAAAGCCCUCCUUA